UCUCGCUUUCUCCCUCGAGCACCAGAACAAAACUCUCGGGCAAAUUUCUUGCCGGAUCUCCAAUCUCUCUAAUCAAAAGCCAAUCUCCAUCUCUCAUCUCUCUUCGACAAACGCAGAACCACCUAUCCCACAUCUCUAUCUCUUCGACAAAUACAGCCAAACCAUCACAAUCCCCCAUCUCAGUCUCUCUAAACCAGUCAAACCUAUUGGUUCCCUAUUGUUGCGACGGAUGUCUACCACAAGUCAAGACACCAACAAAAUUGGGGAUUUCAAGAUGGUGGGCACCGUAUCAAGACAGUGACAUUUAUUUACUUGACGACCCCUUCAGUGCAGUUGAUGCACACACUGGAUUAGAGUUGUUUAAGGUUAGAGUUUUCUGAUAGUAUCAUUGAUAUCAUGUUUCUGCUAGUUUGACUAUGGCUGAAAUUUAUAAAUAUGGAAAUGCAAGAAUACAUAUUAACAGCAUUAGAAGACAAAACUGUUGUUUUCGUGA